GAAACUCAUCAGAGAGGGGAAGACCUUGUCGGGACCAAACAUGAUGCGUCUUGAUUUAAGGUCAACUGAGGCCCAUCUACAAGAGCCUUUUAUGGGAUAUGAGGCCACAACCAUUCUCCAAAAGCUUGGAAAAAAUCAUCCUGUGGCAAUUUUUUUCAAUAUGAAGGUCAUCCAAGCCUACACAAGAUGUGCCAUUUAUCUUCAAGCAAAACUGCCUCUGGACAACCCAGUUCUGAGGACCCUGUCAUGCUUGGACCCAAGUGCCUGGGGAAGCCAACACAUCAUUCCUCACCUGAAGAAAUUGCCGACCAUGUUUCCAGCUGUGAAGCUCACCGAAGAGGAGAAAGCUGGUUUUCACAAUGAAAUAUACAGAUAUGCAAGUGACAUGAUGUUGCCACCAGCAACUGAGGAAACAAGAGUGGAUCUGUGGUGGAAUGCUGUGGGG